ACAGAUGACUGAUGCCCGGUGAAAAGGUGAACGUGACAUAUAGCCCCGUCAGCUGCAAGAAAGGAACUACGAAACAGAGGACUAAUGCCCGGUGAAAAGGUGAGCGUGUCAUAUACCCCCGUCAGCUGCAAGAAAGGAACCACGAAACAGAUGACUGAAGCCCGGUGAAAAGAUGAACGUGACAUAUACCCCCAUCAGCUCCAAGAAAGGAACCACGAA